UUGGAUGGAUCACCUUGGAU
rnacentral:rRNA from 1 species